GGAAUUGUUGGCGCUUAGGUGCUGACAGGAACCCUGAGGAAUAUGGUUUUAAGAAGGAUUGAACGAGAGAGUUUGAUCCUGGCUCAGAUUGAACGCUGGCGGCAUGCCUAACACAUGCAAGUCGAACGGUAACAGGUCUUCGGAUGCUGACGAGUGGCGGACGGGUGAGUAAUGCGUAGGAAUCUGUCUUUUAGUGGGGGACAACCCAGGGAAACUUGGGCUAAUACCGCAUAGAGCCCUGAGGGGGAAANCGGGGGAUCUUCGGACCUCGCGCUAAGAGGAGAGCCUACGUCUGAUUAGCUAGUUGGUAGGGUAAAGGCCUACCAAGGCGACGAUCAGUAGCUGGUCUGA
rnacentral:rRNA from 1 species